rnacentral:rRNA from 1 species
CGGGUGAGUAACGCGUGAGGAACCCGCCUCAAAGAGGGGGACAACAGUUGGAAACGACUGCUAAUACCGCAUAAGCCCACAGCUCGGCAUCGAGCAGAGGGAAAAGGAGUGAUCCGCUUUGAGAUGGCCUCGCGUCCGAUUAGCUAGUUGGUGAGGUAAUGGCCCACCAAGGCGACGAUCGGUAGCCGGACUGAGAGGUUGAACGGCCACAUUGGGACUGAGACACGGCCCAG